UACGUAGGGGGCAAGCGUUGUCCGGAAUUAUUGGGCGUAAAGAGCGUGUAGGCGGCCAGGUAGGUCGGUUGUGAAAACUGGAGGCUCAACCUUCAGAGGUCGACCGAAACCAUCUGGCUAGAGUCCGGGAGAGGAGAGUGGAAUUCCUGGUGUAGCGGUGAAAUGCGCAGAUAUCAGGAAGAACACCCGUGGCGAAAGCGGCUCUCUGGAACGGUACUGACGCUGAGACGCGAAAGCGUGGGGAGCGAACAGG
rnacentral:rRNA from 1 species